AUGACCUCCACCAUGGCCUGGGCCCCUCUCCUCCUCACCCUCCUGGCUCACUGCACAGGAUCCUGGGCCCAGUCUGUGCUGACUCAGCCACCCUCAGUGUCGGGGUCCCUGGGCGAGAGGGUCACCAUCUCCUGCUCUGGAAGCAGCACCAACGUUGGGGGUAAUGGUGUAGAGUGGUACCAACAGGUUCCAAGAAAGGCCCCCAAACUCCUCAUCUAUGAUAAUAGCAACCGACCAUCAGGGAUUUCGGACCGGUUCUCUGGCUCCAGGUCUGGCAGCUCAGGCACCCUGACCAUCACGGGGCUGCAGGCUGAGGACGAGGCCGACUAUUACUGCUCAGCAUGGGACAGCACUCUUGGUGGUGCCACAGUGCUGCAGGCCUGUGGGGAACCAGCUGGUCGGGACGGCCGAGGACUCUGCAGCCUCCUGAGCGGCCUGCUCUGCUCCGUCCACGUCCAGGGCGGCGGCACCAGCCACAGCCAGGUCCCCAAGAGGCGGUCACGGCACAUGGUGGCCAGCGUGCAUCAUGGCCGGCCCAGGGACAGUGG